CUCACGGACUUCUUUAAGUCCAUAACUAUUAUUCUUGAUAGUAUUAU
rfam:Plasmodium malariae genome assembly, contig: contig1527